CACAACAAUGGCCCCCGCCAAUGUCCCAGUCCCUGGAUACGUCUCACGCCUCACCGAGAUGCAAUCAGGGCCUAUUAGGGGACGCCGCCACAGCAUGGCUUGACAAGCAGUGCUUCGGUCUGUACCUGGGAUCCGAACCUGCGAACCCCAGGCCGCUGAAACAGAGUGCACAAACUUAACCGCUAUGCCACCAGGCUGGCCCCCAUGAAAUGCUCAAUUUUUAAAGGUGGUCCAAAAGUCUACCAAGCCUGAGUAUUGCCAAGGAUGAGAAAACAAUCUCCACCUGGUCCAAAACGCAAAGCAAGCCACUCUUAAGAGGAGGAAGAAAGGAAAAGUUUUUAUCCAUGCUUGAUUCUCUGUGCACUGCUGCUGGAGUGGUGUUGGCAUGGAGUAAGAGACCCCCAGUGAGACAUUCAGGAACUGAUGAUCAAGGUCGUGUGGACCAGAAGCCCCUCCCUAUCAGGAGAUUCAUCUUGCGAGAUGAGUUUGGAGUCUCUGGUGUUUUCUCAAUUCGAGAAUGUGAAAGCUCUUUAAUUCUUGGUUUGUAAUCCCACCCACACCCAGACCUUUUAAAAAUUGAGUGUCUGUCUACAAUGUGCAGAGGUGUACUUACUGAUGAAUAUCAGCUCUUCCAGAAAAAUUGUCAGAGCAGAUGAUUUGCUCACCAAGAAUUGCACACACAUCCAUAAGAGGACUGAGAGCCAGAACUGACAAGAUUUGUUUAUUGUCAUAAGUGAUUAUUAAUUAACAAUUUAGUUGAGUAGAACUCACCAUGACAAGCAAUAAGGGCUAAAUGUAGAAAUAUUACUAAACUAUUCUUUUAGAAUAAUCUGGGAGUUUCUAAAUGAUACUAAUGGAUCUAGCUGACAUUUUCAAAAUAUUGAUAUUUUUUGUAAGCUAUAUCAUAAAAACAAUAAAAAAAUAAAAAAUUUAAAAAUAUUAUAAUGAUAAUAGUUUUCCUAUUUCAUUAAGUGUAUUUUCUGUUAAACUACCAAAUGAAUUUAUGCUUGUGUUUAAACUUAUUUUAUUUUUCUAAUAAUGUUGGACAUGGCUUAGCUUAGAGAAAAUAGACGCUGUUUCCUUGGUAUCCAUGAUCAUGCUGUCCUUAAAGCUCUCUUUUUCACUGUAUAUUAGUUAGAGCUUGUGUUUCACAAGAGAGACUUGAUUACAGUUUAGUUCAAGCAAAUAAGGAUUUAUUUAUCUCACACAAAAGGAAAUCUACAAGUGCUAUUGUAAGACUGAAAUUCUUUCUCAAUAAUAACAGGGAAUAGUCUCCUUCUAUCUUUUGGUACACUUUCCUUAGCAAUGACUAGUGCGCUCCCAGUUUGCACCAGCAUUCUAGAAAGGAGAAAGGAAAAACCAUCAAAGCACCAGUUGACUUCUCCUUUCAUUUUGAAGGCCAGAAGUGAUUCACAUGAACAGUCUUAGGUUCAAAGGGGUUUAAAAAAAUGUAGGGGGUUUAAAAAAUUUUUCCAGCCUCUAUUUUGGAGACAGAGUGAAAAGCCAUUUGCUGUUGAGUGAGCCAACCUACAGUAUCUGUCACAUUUUCUUCUGAAAUGUCACUGUAUUGUUAUCAUCCCCAGCCUAUGGCUGACUUUUCUUAUUCUAUGUUUAUAUUUAUAUUUAUAUAUAUAUAUUUGUAUAUAUUCUAUAUUUACUGAUUUCUCUGCAUUAAAAUUCAUUUAAAUGCUAUCACUUUGUAGUUGCAAUGGUAAUGUAUAUUACUAACAUUCUCAA